GUGGUUCAGUGGUAGAACCCUUGCUUCCCAUGCAGGAGACAUGGGUUCAAUUCCCAGUC
rnacentral:tRNA from 1 species